AACGAACGCUGGCGGCAGGUUUAACACAUGCAAGUCGAACGCCCCGCAAGGGGAGUGGCAGACGGGUGAGUAACGCGUGGGAAUCUACCCAUCCCUGCGGAACAACUCCGGGAAACUGGAGCUAAUACCGUAUACGCCCUUAGGGGGAAAGAUUUAUCGGGGAUGGAUGAGCCCGCGUUGGAUUAGCUAGUUGGUGGGGUAAAGGCCUACCCAGGCGACGAUCCAUAGCUGGUCUGAGAGGAUGAUCAGCCACAUUGGGACUGAGACACGGCCCAAACUCCUACGGGAGGCAGCAGUGGGGAAUAUUGGACAAUGGGCGCAAGCCUGAUCCAGCCAUGCCGCGUGAGUGAUGAAGGCCUUAGGGUUGUAAAGCUCUUUCACCGAUGAAGAUAAUGACGGUAGUCGGAGAAGAAGCCCCGGCUAACUUCGUGCCAGCAGCCGCCGUAAAAC
rnacentral:rRNA from 1 species